rnacentral:lncRNA from 1 species
UUUUUGUGGUUUGGAUUACAGUAACGUUGUGUAUUACAUAACGUACCGUUGUUAUGUAUUAAUGACAAUCAUCUGUUAACAAUUUUUGAAUAUACCUAGCAUGUAUUCUGUUGGUCUAAAGCUGUCUGAAACGCACAUCAUAAAACGUGCUUAACUUACCAUGUGGAUAUUCAAAGAUGUUUUGUCUUGGUAUCUACAAAAUUAAUUCCUAUUACAUAGAAAAUGACGAUAUAACUGCCCGUUUUUCGUUCAAAAAUUUACAACACGAGGUUAACGGAGUGUUAACAAUAACGGACAGAUUUGUUUUCAAACUGUGUAAUAAUUACAAACUCGACCAGUGAUCUCACUGACGCUAGGUGGCAGUGUGUGUAAUAGUGAUGUAAAUGCAGCAGACAACGACGAAACGUUUGCUUUCUCCUUCCUUCUAUGGCGUCGUAUGCGGGAAUUUUGAGAUGGCAGUGUUAUGUGUUUACUCUACUGAGAUCCAGGAGGAGUUGUUUAUGCGCGAAAUCUGCUAUUUUUAGUCGUAUGUAUGUGUCAGAUCAUAUGUGAAAAUGCUGCAGAAUAUCUGCUUCUGGACUAAUUACUUUUGAGCAGAAAUAGAUGUGGCAAUCUUUAUAUGCAGCUCAAGUGAUGUUAUACGGUUUUAAGUUUUGAGCUGCUGUGUGACAUUGGAUUCUCUGAAGAUAAAUAAUUUUUAGUAAUUUUAGUCACUUACGGUCCACGAUGAUUAAGUCUAAAUCCAGCUAAUCUUCCAUGGUCAGUGGAGUUCAGUCAAAUAUUUCUGCCUUUUUUGUCUCAAAGGUUUUACCAAAGUCACCUAAAAAAAUUGCAGCUGGAAUUACAAAAGUCCCCAUUUCACUGAAGAUAAAGGAUGAAAGUGCUCCCUGCUCUCCAAUCCCUUCUGCUGUCCUAGAGACACCUGACAGUCUGAGGAGCGACAACCCUUCAGACACUUCAUAUGAGAACCGCUCACCUGUGUCCCGUGGCCUACUUACUAAAUGUGUCAGGGGUAAACCUAGCCUGAUGGCACGUAAGCUGAUGCAGCCACAGAAAAACAGCAAUCUAGAGCCAGAAGACACUUUUGAGCCUAAGAAUGGCGUAAGUCACUCCGGCUCUGUGAAGAGGUUGUUGCACAGCUCCGAGAACAUCCAGAGUGCAAAGCAGUCCAGGACCAUGCAAGUUCAGAAACUUCCCGAUUUUGACACAAGCUCACCAAGGGCUUCAUCUUCGGGAACGUUACAGAGAGCAUUCUCAAAUUGUCAAAAUUCUCAAAACGGAAAAACUAAUGGUUUCUCAUAG